CACGUAGGGCGCGAGCGUUGUCCGGAAUUAUUGGGCGUAAAGAGCUCGUAGGCGGCCUGUUGCGUCCGCUGUGAAAGCCCGGGGCUUAACCCCGGGUCGGCAGUGGAUACGGGCAGGCUAGAGGUAGGUAGGGGAGAACUGGAAUUCCCGGUGUAGCGGUGAAAUGCGGCAGAUAUCGGGGAAGGAACACCGGUGGCGAAGGCGGUUCUCUGGGCCUUACCUGACGCUGAGGAGCGAAAGCGUGGGGAGCGAACAGG
rnacentral:rRNA from 1 species